rnacentral:rRNA from 1 species
AGCCUGAACGCUGGCGGCGUGGCUAAGACAUGCAAGUCGUACGGGUGUAGCAAUACACCAGUGGCGAACGGGUGAGUAAUGUAUCGCUAAUGUGCCCCGGAUUCUGGGAUAGCUAUCCGAAAGGGUAGGUAAUACCAGAUGAUAUAACUUUGCCGCAUGGCAGAGUUCUCAAAGGAGUAAUCCGCUCUGGGAGCAGGCGAUAUCGUAUCAGCUAGUUGGUGAGGUAACGGCUCACCAAGGCGACGACGCGUAGCCGGACUGAGAGGUUGGCCGGCCACAUUGGGACUGAGACACUGCCCAGACUCCUACGGGGGGCUGCAGUAACGAAUCUUCCGCAAUGCACGAAAGUGUGACGGAGCGACGCCGCGUGUGGGACGAAGCCCUUCGGGGUGUAAACCACUGUCAGGGGUUAGAAAGUUCUGAUCAACCCAGAGGAAGGCACGGCUAACUCUGUGCCAGCAGCCGC